rnacentral:rRNA from 1 species
AUUGAACGCUGGCGGAAUGCUUUACACAUGCAAGUCGAACGGCGGCACGGGGCAACCUGGUGGCGAGUGGCGAACGGGUGAGUAAUACAUCGGAACGUGCCCAAUCGUGGGGGAUAACGUAGCGAAAGUUACGCUAAUACCGCAUACGAUCUACGGAUGAAAGCGGGGGAUCGCAAGACCUCGCGCGAAUGGAGCGGCCGAUGUCAGAUUAGGUAGUUGGUGGGGUAAAGGCUCACCAAGCCGACGAUCUGUAGCUGGUCUGAGAGGACGACCAGCCACACUGGGACUGAGACACGGCCCAGACUCCUACGGGAGGCAGCAGUGGGGAAUUCUGGACAAUGGGGGCAACCCUGAUCCAGCCAUGCCGCGUGAGUGAAGAAGGCCUUCGGGUUGUAAAGCUCUUUCGGCCGGGAAGAAAUCGCACGGGCUAAUACCCUGUGUGGAUGACGGUACCGGAAUAAGAAGCACCGGCUAACUACGUGCCAGCAGCCGCAGUAAUAC